CUGACUUCCUUUCUACUGGGUUUUCUCUGUGUGUGAACAAGCAAAGGGACAGACGCAUGGAAACUUACUAUACAAACUUUGGUGAUUGUGGUGACCCAUCCCACUUGUUUUUGCUCAUGUACUAUAAUUACUUUCUCCAUCAAGGCUGAUUUCAUAAACAGAUGUAGAAUUUUAAUCCAGAGUAUGUUAUACAGUUUCUUUCUGUCUCCCAUGACAGAACUGAAUUUACCUCCAUCUAAACCAAUGAUUUUUCCAGUGAUGUGCCUUGGCCCACUGGUGUGCCUCGAGAGGAUCUUAGGUGUGCUGUGAAAAUUUUUAAAGAUCACAAAUUAUUUUCAAAAGAAGU